UAUUUCUUUAUAGAGGGAGUAUCUAAUAAUAUUUAUUUAAUGUUAUAGAUGUAGAUAUUUUCCUCUAUAAAUGUAGUCAAAGUAGGGGGAGUUUGACUUUUGAAAUUUCCUAUGUGCACUACAUUUAGGAAUAGAGGGAGUAUCAGUAUUCCCCAAUAGGCAGUAAAGUGUGCCAUUUAGUAGCUCCUUUCAUGCUUGAUUAUGAUUAUUAAUUUUGCCCAUUUGGCACUAAGGUAUGCCAUUGGGUAGAUAGAGGAACUGCGAGAAAAAUAAAACAUAAUUAGGAAUUGCAAGAAAAAAUCCACACUUUUUUGCACCCAUUCAUCAUACUGGUAGUGUAGAUUUAAUGGAUGGUUAUGGUAAACUGUGUUCUUUCUGUAAAAGUAAGUGCUUAGUGUCCCAACAUAACUUGUGCCUUUACUGGGAGUGUAGAUAAAAAAUAUUCAUCAUUGCAGCUGGAUUAUCUCCAUUUACUCUUACCUGUGAAUUUUGAUCAGAAACCUGGACUCUGUUGUUGCAUCCUUACUUUUAAUACUGGUUAUUACUUUGCCUAUUUGCCUUCCUAAGUGUCCAGUGGACUCGUUAGCAAUAACCUGUAUUUCUGCAAUUAAGAUGGACUGGAUGUUAUGUGGUACUAAGUGCCUGUUCGGAAACUCUCCCAUCCCUUAAACUCCGCUCCGCUCGAGAGCUGGUUUCAAGCAACUCCCUGCUUUCGUGUUGGCGCUCCCUCCGCUCCGGGAGCCGCAGUGAGGGACCGGAGAGAAUCCGAACAGAGCCUAAAUGCAUCAUCUGUGUGACAGUAAUUUAUGAUAGCAGGUUGUUUUAGUCCAUUUCAGGUAUUUUGGAGGCUCACUUCUAACGGAGGAAGCAGAGAGAAGUUUUCCGUACAUUAUGUUAAUUAAGUUUCGUUGAAUCGUAAUAGAGCUUCCGUAUUAUGGAAGGCGAGAUGUGGUCGGCCAGUCGUGUGGAAUAUGUUGUCAAAUUAUUGUUACUUUUUUGUGAAAGGCACCUUCCCACUACAUUUAUCUGGUGAUAGACCAAAUGUGACGAGACGGGGGAGAUAAGGUGGAAUAAAGCAGUAUAAGAUGGGGUACUACUAUAGUAAAAAGAACCAUGUUGAUGGCGAGUUAUUUGGAAAUAGUGAAGAUUAUUGUGCCCCAAUGCCUAUUGAUGGAUCACGCAUGGCAGUCUUGGUGGCGCCACCAUGCAUGCGUGGGAUCGACAGGAGCGAAUUAGCGGUCCCAGCCGACGAGUGAGAGGAGGAAGGUUUGGUAGUUCCCCGAC